AGUUUUGAGCUAAUUAUAAUUUAAUAUUAGUUAUUUUUAUAAAGGUGUUGUAAAACCUUAUACAAAAUUAUACUUAGGGGUGAUAGGCCUUUCAAAAGCUAAGAUAUCUUGAUUCUAAUUAAAAGUAUAUAGUACAAUAAAUACAACUAGGAAGUGAUUAGGCUUUAUAGAAAUAUAAAUUUAUAAAAAAUUACUUACUACAAUUUAAUAAUUAAGUAUAUAUGUGUAUUAAUAUUAAUAUAUUAUAAUUUAUAUGGAAGAAUUAGAUAAAAUAAAGUUUAUAUUUUUUUGUAAUAAUGUUUAUAUUAGUAUUAAAAAAUUAAAUUUAUAUGAUGAACUCGGCAAUAAUGCUUUCUCAACUGUUUAUCAAAAACAUAACUAUGUGAAUUAAAUACAUAGCGGUUUCUGCUCAAUGAUAAUUUAAAUAGCCGCAGUAUACUGACUGUGCAAAGGUAGCAUAAUCAAUUGACUUAUAAUUGAAGUCUAGAAUGAAUGAAAAUAAUGGGAAGCCACUAUAUUAUUAUAAUAUAUAUAAAUUAUUUAUGAAGUGAAAAUACUUCUAUAAACAUAAUAGACGAGAAGACCCUAGAAAAUUUAAGUAAUUAAAAUUAUAUUUAAGAAAUUUUUUGUUGGGGCGACAAAGUAGCAUAGUUUUAACCUACUUAUAUAUAUACUUGCACUUUUUUUAUUGAUUGAAUAAUUUACUCUAGGGAUAACAGCAUAAUAUAUUUAAGUUUAUGACCUCGAUGUUGGACUAGGAAAUAAAUAACUUAAAAGGUUUUUUAUCUUGCUCUGUUCGAGCAUUAAACUCCUACAUGAUC
rnacentral:rRNA from 1 species